GCUGAACUUUACACGUGUGCCUGAUGAAGUGGCCAGUAUUUGUGUGUUUCAUGUGAAUUUGAAGGAGAAAAUAAGUCAACUUUUGCCAGCGUCAGGGUGAACCUUCGUCAGAUUUACAAAACGUUGAGUGCUGCUGUCGGAGUGAGAGAGCUUGCGUAGACUGUCUCUGCCAUAUUCAGCCGGUGAGCAAAUAUCAAUUUUGGACAGAGGAAGGAUUACGGAGCUGCCGAGAUUCGUGUGUGCGGCACUAAAUAAAAGACGAAAGAUUCGGGAGGCGGUCGCCCGAAGGGGCGUCGUCCCCGCGCCGUCUCCGGCCGCGGCCGGCUCGCGAACCCGCGCAGGGGAGAACUUGGAUCGGUCGACGGGCAGAACGAGGCACGCGGGGACGGAAAGGGAGGGAGAGCGAGCGAGGAAGUGGGCGAACGAGAGAUACCAUCGACUGUUGCUUCCAACCAGCAGAUAAGUGUGGCCUA
rnacentral:lncRNA from 1 species